UAGAAUUCUGUCCCUUUCUACUAUCUAGCGAAACCACAGCCAAGGGAACGGGCUUGGAAAAAUCAGCGGGGAAAGAAGACCCUGUUGAGCUUGACUCUAGUCUGACUCUGUGAAGAGACAUGAGAGGUGUAGCAUAAGUGGGAGGCCGUGAACCCUCGCGGUUGUGUCGUGCCGUCAGUGAAAUACCACUACUUUCAUCGUUUCUUUACUUACUCGGUGAAGCGGAAAGCGGACCAUCAGUGUCCACGCUUCUAGCACUAAGUG
rnacentral:ncRNA from 1 species